UACGAACUGUGCAAACGUUAUUCGGAAUCACUGGGCGUAAAGGGCGCGUAGGCGGCCCGCACAAGUCUGCGGUGAAAACCCCCGGCUUAACCGGGGGCCGGCCGUGGAAACUGUCGGGCUGGAGGCUGGGAGAGGGCAGCGGAAUUCCCGGUGUAGCGGUGAAAUGCGUAGAGAUCGGGAGGAACACCGGCGGCGAAGGCGGCUGCCUGGACCAGUCCUGACGCUGAGGCGCGAAAGCUAGGGGAGCAAACAGG
rnacentral:rRNA from 1 species